CUGGACUGGAGGAUCCUCACUGUAAACUGGAGAAACUGUGGUUGAGUUAUUGUGGCAUCACAGAUGAAGGUUGUUCUGCUCUGGCUUCAGCUCUGAGAUCAAACCCCUCACACCUGAGAUACCUGAGUCUGUCUCUGAAUAAUCUACGACUAUCAGAAGUGAAGUUACUCUCUGAUCUGAAAGAUGAUCCACGUUAUAAACUGGAGACAUUAGUCUACUGACUCUCAGUAUUUAGACGUCAGUUCAGUUUCCUCAGGAUCAGCUGAUGGUGAAUAAGAGCCGCUACAGGAAUCAGUGAUGUGAAGUUAAAUGAAUGCAUGGAAGUGUAAUGUGUGGAGCAGUGUUGAUGAACAGAAGAAACAAGCUUCAAGGAAACUAAACUAAUUCAGCAAAAGACGUUUUUAUCCAAAGGACAUUAAGAAAAUAGUUGAUCUGUUUAUACAGCACUGAAAACCAAGAAAAUCAAUGUGAUAUUUUCAGUGAUGGUCUUAUAUCCUGAGCUGUCCAGAUUUAAUAUAGAUCAUCAUAACUGUGUAUCCUGAAAUUCAGAAAUAGAAAACUUAUCACUUGUACAUUUUCUUAUAUUUUAAUCCAGUCUAACAUUUGAGUGUGUAACCUUUCUAUGUAUGUGUUUAUUUUUAUUAAAAUAUGUGUCAUCUCG